UACAGAGGCCUCGAGCGUUAGGCGGAAUCACUGGGCUUAAAGCGUGUGUAGGCGGACUUCUAAGUACCUUGUGAAAUCCCACGGCUCAACCGUGGAACGGCUGGGUAUACUGCCUGUCUUGAGCCAACUAGGGGCGAGCGGAACAGACGGUGGAGCGGUGAAAUGCGUAGAUAUCGUCUGGAACGCCAAAGGUGAAAACAGCUCGCUGGGGUUGUGCUGACGCUGAGACACGAAAGCCAGGGGAGCGAACGGG
rnacentral:rRNA from 1 species